rnacentral:rRNA from 1 species
UACGGAAGGUGCGAGCGUUAAUCGGAAUUACUGGGCGUAAAGCGCACGUAGGUGGUUUUAUAAGUCGGAUGUGAAAGCCCUGGGCUUAACCUAGGAAUUGCAGUCGAUACUACUCAGCUAGAGUAUGGGAGAGGGCAGUGGAAUUCCUGGUGUAGCGGUGGAAUGCGCAGAUAUCAGGAGGAACACCGGUGGCGAAGGCGGGUCUCUGGGCAGUAACUGACGCUGAGGAGCGAAAGCGUGGGGAGCGAACAGG